rnacentral:rRNA from 1 species
UCGAACGGUUAAAGCACCUUCGGGUGUGUAUAGAGUGGCGAACGGCUGAGUAACACGUGGGCAACCUGCCCUUUGCAUCGGGACAGCCUCGGGAAACCGUGGUUAAUACCGGAUACUCCAUCUUUCUCACAUGAAAAAGAUGGGAAAGUGUUUAGCGGCAAGGGAUGGGCCCGCGCCCUGUUAGCUUGUUGGUGGGGUAAAAGCCUACCAAGGCAAUGAUGGGUAGCCGGGUUGAGAGACCGACCGGCCAGAUUGGGACUGAGACACGGCCCAGACUCCUACGGGAGGCAGCAGUGGGGAAUCUUGCACAAUGGGCGAAAGCCUGAUGCAGCGACGCCGCGUGCGGGAUGAAGGCCUUCGGGUUGUAAACCGCUUUCAGCAGGGACGAGGCGAAAGUGACGGUACCUGUAGAAGAAGCCCCGGCUAACUACGUGCCAGCAGCCGCGGUAAUACGUAGGGGGCAAGCGUUAUCCGGAUUCAUUGGGCGUAAAGCGCGCGUAGGCUGCCCAGUAGGUCGAGAGUUAAAUCCGGGGGCUCAACCCCCGUCCGCUCCCGAUACCGCUGGGCUUCGAGUCUGGUAGGGGAAGGUGGAAUUCCCAGUGUAGCGGUGGAAUGCGCAGAUAUUGGGAAGAACACCGGUGGCGAAGGCGGCCUUCUGGGCCAUGACUGACGCUGAGGCGCGAAAGCUAGGGGGGCGAACAGGAUU